AUUGAACGCUGGCGGCAGGCUUAACACACGCAAGUCGAGAGGGGUGAUGGUGCUUGCACUAUCACUUAGCGGCGGACGGGUGAGUAAUGCUUAGGAAUCUGCCUAUUAGUGGGGGACAACAUCUCGAAAGGGAUGCUAAUACCGCAUACGUCCUACGGGAGAAAGCAGGGGAUCACUUGUGACCUUGCGCUAAUAGAUGAGCCUAAGUCGGAUUAGCUAGUUGGUGGGGUAAAGGCCUACCAAGGCGACGAUCUGUAGCGGGUCUGAGAGGAUGCUCCGCCGCCCUGGGACUGAGACACGGCCCAGACGCCUACGGGAGGCAGCGGUGGGGAAUAUUGGACAAUGGGGGGAACCCUGAUCCAGCCAUGCCGCGGGUGUGAAGAAGGCCUUCUGGUUGUAAAGCACUUUAAGCGAGGAGGAGGCUCUUUUGGUUAAUACCCAAGAUGAGUGGACGUUACUCGCAGAAUAAGCACCGGCUAACUCUGUGCCAGCCGCCGCCGUAA
rnacentral:rRNA from 1 species